GACGAACGCUGGCGGCGUGCUUAACACAUGCAAGUCGAACGGUGAAGCGCCUUCCUUUUUGGUGGGUGUGGAUGAGUGGCGAACGGGUGAGUAACACGUGAGUAACCUGCCCCCUUCUUCUGGAUAACCGCAUGAAAGUGUGGCUAAUACGGGAUAUUCUGGGUCUGUCGCAUGAUGGGUCUGGGAAAGAUAUUGUUUCGGUGGGGGAUGGGCUCGCGGCCUAUCAGCUUGUUGGUGGGGGGAUGGCCUACCAAGGCGGUGGCGGGUAGCCGGCCUGGGGGGGUGGACGGUCACACUGGGACUGAGACACGGCCCAGACUCCUACGGGAGGCAGCAGUGGGGAAUAUGGCACAAUGGGCGCAAGCCUGAUGCAGCGACGCCGCGUGAGGGAUGGAGGCCUUCGGGUUGUGAACCUCUUUCGCCAGUGAAGCAGGCCUGCCUCGUUUGUGGGUGGGUUGACGGUAGCUGGAUAAGAAGCGCCGGCUAACUACGUG
rnacentral:rRNA from 1 species